rnacentral:rRNA from 1 species
CAAUAGCGUAUAUUUAAGUUGUUGCAGUUAAAAAGCUCGUAGUUGGAUUUCGGGUGGGACGCAGCGGUCUCGCAUUGCGUUUGUACUGCUGCAGCCCUCCUUCUUGCCGGGGGCGGCCUCUCGGACUUCACUGUCUGGGGGUCAGAAUCGGCGAUGUUACUUUGAGUAAAUUAGAGUGUUCAAAGCAAGCUUACGCUCUGAAUAUAAUAGCAUGGGAUAACACGACAGGACGCUGGCCUAUCGUGUUGGUCUAUAGGACCAGAGUAAUGAUUAAGAGGGACAGUCGGGGGCAUUCGUAUUCCGUUGUCAGAGGUGAAAUUCUUGGAUUUACGGAAGACGAACAUCUGCGAAAGCAUUUGCCAAGGAUGUUUUCAUUGA